UGGGGAAUAUUGCACAAUGGGCGCAAGCCUGAUGCAGCCAUGCCGCGUGUGUGAAGAAGGCCUUCGGGUUGUAAAGCACUUUCAGCGAGGAGGAAGGUGGUGAGCUUAAUACGCUCAUCAAUUGACGUUACUCGCAGAAGAAGCACCGGCUAACUCCGUGCCAGCAGCCACGGUAAUACGGAGGGUGCAAGCGUUAAUCGGAAUUACUGGGCGUAAAGCGCACGCAGGCGGUUUGUUAAGUCAGAUGUGAAAUCCCCGGGCUCAACCUGGGAACUGCAUUUGAAACUGGCAAGCUAGAGUCUCGUAGAGGGGGGUAGAAUUCCAGGUGUAGCGGUGAAAUGCGUAGAGAUCUGGAGGAAUACCGGUGGCGAAGGCGGCCCCCUGGACGAAGACUGACGCUCAGGUGCGAAAGCGUGGGGAGCAAACAGGAUUAGAUACCCUGGUAGUCCACGCUGUAAACGAUGUCGAUUUUGGAGGUUGUGCCCUUGAGGCGUGGCUUCCGGAGCUAACGCGUUAAAUCGACCGCCUGGGGAGUACGGCCGCAAGGUUAAAACUCAAAUGAAUUGACGGGGUCAUAGCUGUUUCCU
rnacentral:rRNA from 1 species